GCCGAGAUAGCUCAGGCGGUAGAGCAGGGGACUGAAAAUCCCCGUGUCGCCGGUUCGAUUCCGGCUCUCGGCACCA
rnacentral:tRNA from 1 species